rnacentral:rRNA from 1 species
UACAGAGGGUGCGAGCGUUAAUCGGAAUUACUGGGCGUAAAGCGCGCGUAGGCGGCUUUGCAAGUCGGGUGUGAAAUCCCCAGGCUUAACCUGGGAACUGCAUUCGAGACUGCAUUGCUAGAGUAUGGGAGAGGGAAGUGGAAUUUCCGGUGUAGCGGUGAAAUGCGUAGAGAUCGGGAGGAACACCCGUAGCGAAGGCGGUUCUCUGGGCCAAUACUGACGCUGAGGAGCGAAAGCGUGGGGAGCAAACAGG